rnacentral:rRNA from 1 species
UAAGGAAUAUUGGUCAAUGGACGCAAGUCUGAACCAGCCAUGCCGCGUGGAGGAUGAAGGUCCUCUGGAUUGUAAACUUCUUUUAUCUGGGACGAAACACUUCUUUUCUAAGAGGCCUGACGGUACCAGAUGAAUAAGCACCGGCUAACUCCGUGCCAGCAGCCGCGGUAAUACGGAGGGUGCAAGCGUUAUCCGGAUUCACUGGGUUUAAAGGGUGCGUAGGUGGGUAUGUAAGUCAGUGGUGAAAUCCCCGAGCUUAACUUGGGAACUGCCAUUGAUACUAUAUAUCUUGAAUACCGUAGAGGUAAGCGGAAUAUGUCAUGUAGCGGUGAAAUGCUUAGAUAUGACAGGGAACACCAAUUACGAAGGCAGCUUACUAUGCGGUGAUUGACACUGAGGCACGAAAGCGUGGGUAGCAAACA